rnacentral:rRNA from 1 species
CGAAAGCCUGACGGAGCAAUACCGCGUGAGGGAGGAAGGCUCUUGGGUCGUAAACCUCUUUUGUCAGGGAAGAACACAAUGACGGUACCUGACGAAUCAGCAUCGGCUAACUCCGUGCCAGCAGCCGCGGUAAUACGGAGGAUGCAAGCGUUAUCCGGAAUUAUUGGGCGUAAAGCGUCCGCAGGUGGCUUGUCAAGUCUGCUGUCAAAGACAGUAGCUCAACUACUGCAAGGCAGUGGAAACUGAAUAGCUAGAGUGCGGUAGGGGCAGAGGGAAUUCCCGGUGUAGCGGUGAAAUGCGUAGAUAUCGGGAAGAACAUCGGUGGCGAAGGCGCUCUACUGGACUGCAACUGACACUCAGGGACGAAAGCUAGGGGAGCG